CCCACCAUCCUCAUCGGUCCACCUGGGCACCUCUUGUAAACUUGGAUUGACUUUCCGAAGCAACUCGGUCGGGAGGAUUGCCGGCGCCAGCUGGCUUUCUUUGCAUUUCCAGGUCUACGUUUUUCAUAUACCCCAUUGUAUGUAACAGAAUGUAACAUUGGGCACUUGUGGGUAUAAACUUUAUACAACUUUCAGCAACGGAUCUCUUGGCUCUCGCAUCGAUGAAGAACGCAGCGAAAUGCGAUAAGUAAUGUGAAUUGCAGAAUUCAGUGAAUCAUCGAAUCUUUGAACGCACCUUGCGCUCCUUGGUAUUCCGAGGAGCAUGCCUGUUUGAGUGUCAUUAAAUUCUCAACCUUUAUCAACUUUUGUUGAUAAUGGCUUGGAUAUGGGGGUUUAUUUUGCUGGCUUCUUUACAGAUGGUCACCUCCCCUUAAAUGCAUUAGCCGGUGCCCCGCGUGGACUGUCUAUUGGUGUGAUAAUUAUCUACGCCGUGGACAUCUGCAAUCAUAUGGGUUUGCACUGCUGCGAACUGUCUGUUGAAUCACACAAUACAUGACAAUUUGACCUCAAAUCACGUAGGACUACCCGCUGAACUU
rnacentral:rRNA from 1 species